GUCGAUAGUGAGUUGCAUCUGCAUUAACUGGACUUCAGUUGCAUACAGACUAUUUUUCCUAAGAGAGAUAAAUCAUAUGUGACUCAAUGUUGUGAUCAAAUUAAUUUCCAAUAGGGAUUUUUGUGAUUACUUUGUUCUUAGAUGCAUUCGGUAUUUAUUGGAUUAUUACAACGCAUACGAAUAACAGCACUGCGUCGAAUAGCAGAAUCAGCAGUAGAACAGCUACGAGAAGCAUAAAUUAUACGAUAUUUAUAAUAUGAGUAAUUGACGACGGCGACAGUUUGAUUUGUUGAAAACAACUCCACGCGACAACGUGUGGCCCUACCUACCUGGGCUACACAAAAGUUCCAAAGUUCCUGCUAAGUUCCGGCACGGCUACCGGCUACAAAGGUAAUGAGUUAUUUCAGUGUCUUGUUUAUUUACAAAAUAUCACUACGUUUGAAGACGGACCAUCAAAAUGAGUCGUUAAACUGUAAAUUCCAUAAAAAGUGUUGUCGGCGUGUUGAUGACCUCCGUAAUUGAAGAGCAGAGACAAUGGACGGAACCCGACUGAAUUCGAUAGAUCCAACUGGACGUUUCGGAUUCUGUUCGGUGUCGAUCGUCUAUUGUUUCAUUCUUUAUUUGAAAAUAAUGCAAUCACGCUCUCCGUUCUUUUACAACACCAUUAUUAAGUUGGUUAGCAAUGAACCUUAAUUAUUGUAAAUUGAGAAUUGUUUAAUUUUAUAUUAUAGAAAUAUUGUAAAUGAUUGUGAUAUUUUAUGGCUUCUUAUUCUUCUUAACAAUUAUGAAUUAAUACAUUUAGUAAGUUUUAUAUAUUCUAGUAUUCACAUAAAAAAUAAUUAACAGUGUUACAGCAAAAUUAAUUCCUGAAUAAAUAAAUAUGUAUAUCAAAGUAAACAUCAAUAGGAUUACUGAAUUGGGUGAAUCAGUCAUUCGGUAAAAUAAUAUAACUUGUUAAACUGUCUACUUUGAUUUUCAAGGUGGCCGUAUAUUACUCAAGAGCUUUUCUUACGUUUCGGAAACCUUAAAUAUUCCAACUAGUUAUAACAGGGUAAAUUUAUUUUAGAAACAACCUGCGUAUUCCUGCGUAUGAAUUACUUUCGGUAUUAAAUACAAAUACCGUAUGAAUUACUUUCGGUAUUAAAUACAAAUGCAGUCAUUGCAUUCAUAAUAAUAUAGCAAACAAUAAACGAAUCCGACAUCAAAUGCAUCAUUCUAUUCAGAAAAGCAAAUCUUCAAAGAGUUAAAGAACACAACGCCCUAACGUUCCGUUCUCCACGGCAUCGGCAACGUAACCCGAUCUUCGUUUAUCUGCCGUCGAGCAAUUAUUGAAGCGUGAAAAGGAGCGACCUCCUAUUAUUUACACACGUUUUGUAAUGCGGGCAUUCCGUUUUUGAAAAAUAUUGCAUUUCCUAGCAAGCAACGACAUGCAGGGGUUGCAUUAUAUCCUACUAAGUAUCUACUGCUUUACUGCACUACUGCUACCCUAUUCGUUUGCACGUCCACUACGUGCAGUGCACGGAUUUUGCAAGGAUUUAUCUAUAAAGUUAUAUAUCUAUAAUACAUACGUAUACCUGCACGCAAUUUUUUCAAGUACCUGAAUAUGAAUGGGUUAAAAAAAGCAAUAUUAAGAAGUAACUGACCAUGUUCGAUCUGCGCAGUGAAAGUUUUCCGUUAAACAUAUAAAUAUAUCAUUGUAUCGUUACAUAAAUGAAAUUGUGGUACAACUAAUACAAUUACGGGCUUUAAUUAAUUAAUUAAACGAAUCCGACAUCACAUUUAUAAUGGUAUGACAUCCGACAUUUUAAUGGUAUGUAAUUGUGUGUAUACAAAUAUUUUCUAAUUCAGUAAAUCUUCACUCAUAUUAGGCUACUCUUUUUCCCGCUUAUUAAUAAAUUUGACUGACAUUGACGAAGUAAUUAAUCGUUACUCAAUAUUAGAAAUUAUUAAAUGAACGAAUUACUUAUAAUUAAAUGAAGUAAACGUUUCGGAAAUGUUGCGUUAUAGGUAUUUCAUUAGCUUUUUUCUUAUACUGUGUGUUAUGUAACUAUCUAGUCUACCUAGCAUACUUAAUAAUAUAUGAAACUUAUUAACUUAGGUUUUUUAUAAUGUGGUGUAUGUUUUUGUAUGUUUUUUUUUGUAUUUUAUUUGUAUAUUUUGGUGGACGACCUGUCUGGCCUAGUGAGUAGUGACCCUGCCUAUGAAGCCGAUGGUCCCGGGUUCAGAUCCUGGUAAGGGCAUUUAUUCAUGUGAUGAGCAUGGAUAUUUGUUCCUGAGUCAUGGGUGUUUUAUAUGUAAUAAUAUAUCCAUAGUUGUAUGUAUUUUGAAUAUAAAUUGAAAUAAAUUUAAAUAAUACUUGCAUCGCAUUGCCGCAAUAAACGUUUCCUUGUGUAAAAGUACGAAUGAAUUGCAAACGCUAUUAUAAUUGUUUCACGUAUGACAAAGGUUAAAGACAAAGAUAAUAAUUACAAGUGAGUAUGGUAUGAUUAGGUAGGCGACUACUUAAAGUCAGAGCGUUUGUAUUCAUUCAUUAUACUUAAACCAUCGUGAGUAAUCCCAAUAUCAAAAUCAAUAAAUCUACAUAGUUCCGAUUCGAUAUCAAAAUAUCCAUGUGAGUAGGUAACUACAAUACGAUUCCUAAAACCCCUGAUACACCUAAUAUUUUACUAACGAAAACAUAGUCAAGGUGCUUUAAUCCGUACAAUUUAAAUCAGUACGAGUACUAAAAUUAAAAUAUUGUUAAAGGUUUAUUUUCAUUAUUACGUCACAGUUACAACUAACUACGGGUGUGUAAUGUUUAAUAUAAUUAUAAUAAAACUAUCAUACACUUGCCAUAGUGUCAUUUCAUAUAUUAUUACUUGUUAUAAUGUACAAUAUAAUACACUCUUUAUUGCACUCCUCAAUACAGAAAUAGUACAAAGAAUACAGCACAUUAAGAAGAGGUUUUAAACAAUAGGCGGUCUUAUCGCUAAAAAAGCUCUUCGUGACAACCUAUUGUUAUUAGACAUUGAUUUUGUUAUAUUAUGAUUUAAUCUAAACCGUAAUUGAUAUAAUGCCUAUUUUUAUAUAAUUUUAACUAGUAUAUACAUAUUGUAUCAUGGAUUUUGUUAUAUUAUAUUUUAAUACACCUAAUAUUUUAUACAACAAAAAAAUAUUUUUUAUAUGGGGUCGCAGUUCCAACCUAACCUAACCCACUUUUUGCAAGAUAUUAGUUUGUAUGGGCUCAUAGUUUUAACCUACGUAGCUUUAUUUGACGUUCAUAAGCGCAUUGUAAUAUAUGCCUACUUGAUAAUAAACUAUCUUUAUCUUUUACCUAACCAAAUUUUCUAUUUAUAUUCAGACCUACAUGUAAUUAUAUAAUGUCACUAAUUAGAAAAAGUAUG